UACGGGGGGGGCAAGCGUUGUUCGGAAUUACUGGGCGUAAAGGGCUCGUAGGCGGCCAACUAAGUCAUACGUGAAAUCCCUCGGCUUAACCGGGGAACUGCGUCUGAUACUGGAUGGCUUGAGUUUGGGAGAGGGAUGCGGAAUUCCAGGUGUAGCGGUGAAAUGCGUAGAUAUCUGGAGGAACACCGGUGGCGAAGGCGGCAUCCUGGACCAACACUGACACUGAGGCACGAAAGCUAGGGGAGCAAACAGG
rnacentral:rRNA from 1 species